GUCCCUUUGGCGCAGAGGAUAGCGCGUUGGACUUCUAAUACAAAGGUUGUGGGUUCGAUCCCCACAAGGGAGGGGCA
rnacentral:tRNA from 1 species